UAAUUUUUGGUUCCAGAGGAUUUUCGCACUCGGUGAUGUUGCUUUGAGCUAUUCAAAAUGAUGCCUACCUCGGAAAAUAAACUGUGAAUGUUUAUUUCAAUAAGCUGGCCAUAGUUAAAUCUAAGGAUUCAAAAAAAGUCGUAUGGAUAAUUUUUGAGCAAGCGCCUUGCAUAAGGAUGUUUCACCAGUACCGGUUGGCUCUGUGAAAGUUUUAAAGAAAAGCUCAACUCAUUCUUCUGGAUAUUUGCAGUAGAUCACGUGAAGACAAACAUGAUGUACUAUGAGUGGUAAAUGCUGGUGUUUGAUUGGCUUCGUUGUUUGUUUUCGAGUGACGUCACAGCGGUACACAAACAUGGUAGCCUUGACGUCAUUUAAUAGUUGGCUCGUUAAAACACCAUCACGUCUCUCGCGUUUCAUUCUAUCUGAUUGUAGCUAACUUAUUCUUAUCAAUACUUUGAUAUGUGAUUUUUCAAUCUUGAAUGUUAUGAGUGAUAAGAGAUUUACUCCGUUAAGAUGAGAGUUGUUACAAAGUCAACACACGCAAAAAUAGAAUCUAAUUUGAUUCGUAAAAAGAUACACGUGACGGACGAUGACGCAAGGACUCACGUCUGGUUACCAAGGAAACUAACUUACCAUGCAAUAAGAUAACUUUAUUUCACGAGAUGAUGUUGAAAUCCACGCCUCUAAAAUAUGAUUCAAACACGUGACUAAUAUAUACUUUGAAAUGUCA